AGGUAUAUGGAUUAUAUGUUGAAGGGAUUCAACAUGAAUGGGUGUAAAAAUGUUUACUUACCCAUAUAUUUAAUGUACCAAGUCUGAUGUGGUUUAUGCCUUGUGCAUAAUUAUUGAUUUCAGGUAGAUUCAUAAUAGGAUCGUUUGAAAACUAUGAAAAGUAUUCUCAAAGUACUUGAGAAGUACUAGAGGAGCAAUAAAUU
rnacentral:lncRNA from 1 species